UGGAUUGGUUUGAGUCUGAGGUCGGUUGGAGCAAUUUGUAUCUGUUUUCUUUUUGUAGCAUCCAUGAUUAUUAUAGCAGAGGCAAGAUUGAAACAGGAAGGUNGUGACAAUGAGGGUGAGGAGGUUGAAACUGGUUUCACGAAGAGACUACUCAGUUUUCUGUGGCAAAAAGGUCAAUUGGGUUAUACACAUGUUUGGCCUGA
rnacentral:misc_RNA from 1 species